CCCCCCAUUUUUAAGGAAUCAGCAAACUCGCUGUCCUUAUAGAUAACAUUUCGGGCUGUCUCAGCCUCCAGGAGCUGAAUUAGAUCUAAAUGACAUGGUGGUGCUGCUUUUCCACUACCUGAAAUGCUGCAUGAAAUACAGAUGUCUCAUGAAAAGAUUUUGGGGCCAACUUAAUCCAGAGAAGGAAACUUCUGUCUAAUGCAAAACAGCAUCUUGUAUUGGCGUAUGUCUCCCUUCAUCUGUCCUUCUGCCAAAAUGUCAGCUUUGCUUGGGAUACGUGUCCUCUUGUGACUACAAUGAAGGCUGUGUCCUCCUUGGUACAAUUUAUCACACAGGGUUCAGUGAUGCUGUGUGCCAAGUGAGGAAGAAGAACGUGAAACCUUAUCACCAUGGUGUUUAUUGACCAGUCAUUCUGCUUUGUACUCAUUUCCUCUCCUUAAUUCCCGGCAAGUAUACCUUGGCUCUCAAUCAAAAGAAAUGCAAUAGUUAAAAAAAUCAUAUGCUUUGGGAUGAAUGUAUUAUUCUGUACAUGCUGUUGGUGCAAUUAUUUCUCUCCUGUGAUAACUGAAAACGUUUGUUAAUAAAAUUUGUUCCAGAAAAGCAGAGUGUUAUUCCUUAUGCAGUUUGAAUCCUAACAAAUUAGCCUAUUUUUCCUUGCAGAAAUCGAGUUUUGGAUCUCAGACAUCAUCCUGAGAAACACUGUUUACACACAUUAAAGGAAGAGGGAGACAAACAAAAUAAUGAAAAUAUUUGUUUUUGCCAGUCCUACUUAGCCAAGAAAGAAGCAGAAACGGAUCACAGCCAGAACACGCUGUACCCAGUGCUUGCUGGCUGAUGAUCGCCUUCUAUAAAAUUAACCCAUCUGACCUAAUGCUCCACCUCAGCCCUACAACAUCUGCUGGCAAGCAGAGGAGCUCCCUAUGUAAAGACAAUUAACUCCAUGGCAGAGCAAGGCAAGCAGGCAGAAAGAAAAGGCAGGAGUCCCUGUUGUCUCUGUGGGGCAUUGGGAGUGGCAGUACCACUGGCACAGACCCUGGGCACAGCUGACCCCGCUUCACUCCCCGCAUAGCAAGCGCCCCAAACCAGUCAUGCAUCAAAACAGGCAGAAGGAAACAAGAGAAAAAAUGGUGAGCGAAGGUAAACCAAGGCCUUUUCUCUAAACUUUCACAGUACCCACUUAUCUAGGGCACAGUUUCAAGCUGAUGUCAGUGUCAUCCUUUUCACCAGAAAGUCUGACUUGUGUCGUACUAUUCCAGAAUUAUGUCUCUUUUAGCUUCGGCACAGUGUGCCUGAAGUAAAACUGCAGAGUGCUCUGUUUGUUAUGUGCCUUUUCCCAAGACUACAUCAGACCUCCAAUAUGUGCAAUAACAUCAGGAAAUACACAUUUUGAUGAUUUGCCUUUGCUUGAAAAUACUCUCACAGCUACAGCACACAGAGGAAGAAGGAGGUGGUGAUGAUUCAAUGAGAGGCCAAAGAGUAAGAGAAGAAAAUCUCUUGGGGAAGAAAGGAACUAAUGAACAAAAGUUGGGAACAGAAAGAAGACUGUUAUGCCACAAAUAUAAAAUGUAUAGUCACAUAAGCUCAUAGGAAAGAAAAUGAAAGCUGACGUCCUACAAUGCUAGAUUGAUUAGGGAGGGCUUGGAACAUGACCAAGGUCUGGUAAUGGCAUGGGAAAUCAUUUCAAAGGAGAAAGAACCUCACACUCUGCUACGGGGGACUGCAGCAGUACAAUAACACACGGAGAGGAUGUUGGAGAGCUGCCAUGGAGUCUGUGCAGGGAGGAAGCAAAACCAGAUGACAAUGUGUGUGGUUAUAAUGGAUACCUGCACGGGCUGUGAAGGACUUGUACUGUCAGCAACCUGACAGGUGCUGGAUCUGAGUGCACAAGGGCUGGCCUCCCAUUUGCUGUUCUGCCCCAUUUGCUCAGAUACCUCCCAGCAACUUCCUGUAGGGCCAAAAAAUGACAGCAUAACAGUGCAAUAGGUAUUACCAGAAUCCUGAAUAUUUUCUUCUCUUUAUUUUUUGUUCAUUUUCUCUGUCUAGCCAAGGGCCGAGUUUAUAAUUUCUUUGAUAUUACAGUUGCAACAAAAAUAAAUAUCCCUUAAUAGUAAUUUUAUUUGUACCUUUGUAUAUGUACAUUUGUACAUACAGAGCUUUGUACCUCUCUCUGCAUGAACGUGUGAGCCAAGCAAUCCACAUGUAUUUGCAUCUCAUUUUCACAGCACUUCUAUGCUGACAGAGGCAAGCAGUCUGAGAAAUGAAUAGCAGCCCAGGAAAAUCAAGGAGUUUUAUCUUUAACAACAAAAGAGGAAGAUUUUGACCUGAAUCUUCAGCAAAUUCCUAUUUCCAUGGUGCCCAGUUUAAAGGAGUGUGAUACAAUCCAUUUCAAGCAAGGAAUAAGGAAGAUUCAAUUGCAAACAUAAAUAUACCCUAAACUGGUAGUCAUACUGAGAGUGCAGAGUAUGCUAUACCUCUACGGAUAGGAAAAUACAAUGGUCAGAAUUUGUGUCAUCUCAUCUGCAUAACAUUGCCACAUGUUGGAACACUUCGAUAUACUCCACAUGGGGUCAAACCUCCCUACAUGCCUCUACAAUGUGCACGUGGGCAGAUGUGUUGGCUGCCACUCGGAGGGCAAAUUUAGGCUGUAUGAACAUGCCUUCCAACCAUAAUUCAGGUUUUUGGUCAGUUAGAAGCUAGGAGUAAACACCUAACAAUGGCAAGAAGGAUAAAAUAUCCUUUGUUACUACAGAGAAAUCCAACUAGACUUUUCUUUCUAACAAAUGCAGUAAGAUACUCAGAAUCUAACACACAAGAAACCUCAAGGUUUAGUUCAGAAGGAAUGGCAAUUUGAGCAUUAAGAAAAUAUGGGCCAAUACCACUUGCCCUAGUAGUCCUAUGGCAGAAGACAUCAGUCAUGAAAGAGCUCACUUUGCUACCUUCUUCUUAAAAGCACCAAACCCUUACAAACACUGAAUGCUACCCUAUGUUUAUGAUGACUUAAUAGUAUUAGAAAGGCAAAUAAUCUGAAAGAGAGAUGGAUGUAGCCAAAUAGACUGGAAAGUCAGCUUCCUGCAAAUAUCAUAUUAUUUGGAACAAGAAAAUGAAAAAAAAUAAUAAUAAAAGUCUGUGAUAUCCCUAUAACUUCCAAUAAUUUAGAAGAUGGUAAUUUAUUCAGGUUUCUUUUCUUGGGCUUACAUAUUUGGGGUAAUGUUGAUAAAUCUCUAACUAUUAAUUACAAAUUCAAAAUGAAUCUCACUUGGUUUUGCAGAAAUCUUUUUGAAUUUGCUUUCCAUUCUACAUCUGUUUUGUAUUUAUCUCAAUUUGAUUAAAAAGUAGCGUUUCAGAACUCAGAGUUUCUGUAAAGACUGUCAACAUUCAUCAGCUUGAGAAUAUAUUCCAUGAAGAAAUAAUAUUU
ensembl:lncRNA